UGGGGAAUAUUGCACAAUGGGCGCAAGCCUGAUGCAGCCAUGCCGCGUGUAUGAAGAAGGCCUUCGGGUUGUAAAGUACUUUCAGUCGGGAGGAAGGUGUCAAGGUUAAUAACCUUGGCAAUUGACGUUACCGACAGAAGAAGCACCGGCUAACUCCGUGCCAGCAGCCGCGGUAAUACGGAGGGUGCAAGCGUUAAUAGGAAUUACUGGGCGUAAAGCGCACGCAGGCGGUUGAUUGAGUCAGAUGUGCAAUCCCCGGGCUUAACCCGGGAAUUGCAUCUGAUACUGGUCAGCUAGAGUCUUGUAGCGGGGGGUAGAAUUCCCUGUGUAGCGGUGAAAUGCGUAGAGAUGUGGAAGCAUACCGGUCGCGAAGGCGGCCCCCUGGACAAAGACUGACGCUCAGGUGCGAAAGCGUGGGGAGCAAACAGG
rnacentral:rRNA from 1 species